GAUGAAGAACGUAGCGAAAUGCGAUAAGUAGUGUGAAUUGCAGAAUUCAGUGAAUCAUCGAAUCUUUGAACGCACAUUGCGCCCCAUGGUAUUCCGUGGGGCAUGCCUGUUCGAGCGUCAUUUACCCCCUCAAGCUCCGCUUGGUGUUGGGCGUCUGUCCCGCUUCGCGCGCGGACUCGCCCCAAAGGUAUUGGCAGCGGUCGUGCCAGCUUCUCGCGCAGCACAUUGCGCUUCUCGAGGCACCGGUGGGCCCGCGUCCAUCAAGCUCACCCCCCCAAUUUGACCUCGGAUCAGGUAGGGAUACCCGCUGAACUUAAGCAUAUCAAUAAGCGGAGGA
rnacentral:misc_RNA from 1 species